UAAUAAUGAUGAUGAUGAUGAUGAUGAUGAUGAUAAUAAUAAUAACAAUAACAGUAAUAAUCAUCAUUAGCAUCAUCAUCGUCAUCAUCAUUUAAC
rnacentral:pre_miRNA from 1 species